GAAGAAUUUACAUCUUUACUACGUUGAAUCCUCCAAUACAUGAACAUGAAAUGUCUCUCCAUUUUUUUAGAUUUUCUUUUAUUUCAUUCAUCAGUGUUUAAUGUUUAACAUAUGUUUUAUUAGACUGACAUCUAAAUAUUUCAUUUCUUGGGGUGAUUAAAAUGUUACUGUAGUUUUAAAUUUGGUGUCCAUUUUUAGUGUCAUCACUAGUAUAUAGAAAUACAACUGAUUUGUCGGGCCAAGUGUGGUGACUCAUGCCUGUAAUCCCAGCACUUUGGGAGGCCGAGGUGGGUAGAUCGCUUGAAUCCAAGAGUUCUAGACCAGCCUGGGCAGCACAGCAGAACCCCAUCUCUACUAAAAAUACAAUAAAAUUCGCCGGGCACGGUGGCAUGGGCCUGUAGGCUCAGCUACUCAGAGGGCAGAGGCAGAAGGAUUGCUUGAGCCAGGAGGUAAAGGCUGCAGUGAGCCGAGAUCUCACUACUGCACUCUAGCCUGCCCUGUCUCAAAAAAAUAAAUAAAUAAAUAAAUAAAUAAAUAAAUAAUAAAAAGAAAAAGAAAAAGAAAGAAAUGCAAUUGAUUUUUAUAUGCUUAUCUUGUAUUCUCUGGCCUUACUGAACAUAGGAAUGUUUUUUUGGAUGCUUUGUGAUUGUCUAUGUAGAAAAUUGUGUAAUCUGCAAAAAGGGACAGUUUUAUUUCUUCCUUUCUGAUAUUUAUUCCUGUUUUUUUUUCUUGCCUUAUUGCCUGGCUAGAAUAUCCAGCACUAUGUUGAAUAGCAGUGAUAAGGGCAAAUAUCCUUGCCUUGUUUUCAAUCUUAGAAAGUAUUUAGUUUUUUAUCACUAAGUAAAAUGUUAGUUGUAGGGUUUUUGUAGAUGCUCUUUAUCGGGUUGAGGAAGUUCCUAUUUGUGUUUUUCUGAGAUGUUUUGUCACAAAUGGUCAAAUACUUUUCUGCAUAUAAUCAUGUGUUUUUUCUUCUUUAUUAAAAUGGUAGAUAAUAUUGAUUAAUUUUCUAAUAUUGAACUAGCCUUGCACCCCUGGGGUAAAUCCCACUUAGUUAUGACGUAUAAUUUUAUAUAUAUAUAUUUUUUAUUAUUAUACUUUAAGUUCUAGGGUACAUGUGCACAAUGUGCAGGUUUGUUACAUAUGUAUACAUGUGCCAUGUUGGUGUGCUGCACCCAUUAACUCGUCAUUUACAUUAGGUAUAUCUCCUAAUGCUAUCCCUCCCCGCCACCCCCACGCCACAACAGGCCCCAGUGUGUGAUGUUCCCCUUCCUGUGUCCAAGUGUUCUCAUUGUUCAAUUCCCACCUAUGUGUGAGAACAUGUGGUGUUUGGUUUUUUUGUCCUUGCGAUAGUUUGCUGACAAUGAUGGUUUCCAGCUUCAUCCAUGUCCCUACAAAGGACAUGAACUCAUCCUUUUUUAUGGCUGUGUAGUAUUCCAUCGUGUGUAUGUGCACAUUUUCUUAAUCCAGUCUAUCAUUGUUGGACAUUUGGCUUGGUUCCAAGUCUUUGCUAUUGUGAGUAGUGCCGCAAUAAAUAUACAUGUGCAUGUGUCUUUAUAGCAGCAUGAUUUAUAGUCCUUUGGGUAUAUACCCCAUAAUGGGAUGGCUGGGUCAAAUGGUAUUUCUAGUUCUAGAUCCCUGAGGAAUCACCACACCAUCUUCCACAAUGGUUGAACUAGUUUACAGUCCCACCAACAGUGUAAAAGUGUUCCUAUUUCUCCAAAUCCUCUCCAGCACCUGUUGUUUCCUGACUUUUUAAUGAUUGCCAUUCUAACUAGUGUGAGAUGAUAUCUCAUUGUGGUUUUGAUUUGCAUUUCUCUGAUGGCCAGUGAUGAUGAGCAUUUCUUCAUGAUGAGCAUGUCUGUUGGCUGCAUAAAUGUCUUCUUUUGAGAAGUGUCUGUUCAUAUCCUUCACCCACUUUCUGAUGGGGUUAUUUGUUUCUUGUAAAUUUGAGUUCUUUGUAGAUUCUGGAUAUUAGCCCUUUGUCAGAUGAGUAGAUUGCAAAAAUUUUCUCCCAUUCUGUAGGUUGCCUGUUCACUCUGACGGUAGUUUCUUUUGCUGUGCAGAAGCUCUUUAGUUUAAUUAGAUCCCAUUUGUCAAUUUUGGCUUUGGUUGCCAUUGCUUUUGGUGGUUUAGACAUGAAGUCCUUGCCCAUGCCUAUGUCCUGAAUGGUAUUGCCUAGGUUUUCUUCUAGGGUUUUUAUGGUUUUAGGUCUUACAUUUAAGUCUUUAAUCCAUCCUGAAUUAAUUUUUGUAUAAGGUGUAAGGAAGGGAUCCAGUUUCAGCUUUCUACAUAUGGCUAGCCAGUUUUCCCAGCACCAUUUAUUAAAUAGAGAAUCCUUUCCCCAUUUCUUGUUUUUGUCAGGUUUGUCAAAGAUCAGAUAGUUGUAGAUGUGUGGUAUUAUUUCUGAGGGUUCUGUUCUGUUCCAUUGGUCUAUAUCUCUGUUUUGGUACCAGUACCAUGCUGUUUUGGUUACUGUAGGCUUGUAGUAUAGUUUGAAGUCAGGUAGCACGAUGCCUCCAGCUUUGUUCUUUUGGCUUAGGAUUAACUUGGCGACGCGGGCUCUUUUUUGGUUCCAUAUGAACUUUAAAGUAGUUUUUUCCAAUUCUGUGAAGAAAGUCAUUGGUAGCUUGAUGGAGAUGGUAUUGAAUCUAUAAAUUACCUUGGGCAGUAUGGCCAUUUUCACGAUAUUGAUUCUUCCUAUCCAUGAGCAUGGAAUGUUUUGCUAUUUGUUUGUGUCCUCUUUCAUUUCAUUGAGCGGUGGUUUGUAGUUCUCCUUGAAGAGGUCCUUCACAUCCCUUGUAAGUUGGAUUCCUAGGUAUUUCAUUCUCUUUGAAGCAAUUGUGAAUGUGAGUUCACUCAUGAU
rnacentral:lncRNA from 1 species